UUUUUUGCACCACCGCGACCAGCCUUAGAGCGCGGCGGCGGCGGCCACGGCAACAUCAGCCCAGCCAUCAGCCGAGCAGACGCCCAGCACCCGGGAGCGCGGCGAGCUUCGGCUCAGCCCGGAGUUCACCUCCGAGUGCCCCGGGGGCUGAGCUCACCCCUUCUGCUCUCUCACACACGAACACUCUCUUUCACUCACACACACACACGUAUUCACACUCUCUCGCACACACAUAGGACCCUGGGCGCAAGCACCCUUCUGGCAGCGGUCGUCCGCUGGUGCAAUAGUAGCUAGGUUCGGUUCCUGCCUCCGGCGGCCGCCGGUUUAGAGCACCGCUGCCAGCAGCCGGAGGAGAGCAAUGCGGGGGCCCGAGCGGCAGCUCGAACAGUAAUGUGGAUUUACAGUCGUUUCCCGCAGGAGUCGGCCGAGACGCCCUAAGUCCCGGGCACUGGCAGCGCCCGGCGGAGCCGAGCACCUGGCGAGGGGGCGGGGGAACAGCACCUGGGGACGCCGCCGAAACUUGCGCUUGGAAUA
rnacentral:lncRNA from 1 species